ACGAAAUAAACGUCUCAGUUCGGAUUGCAGGCUGCAACCCGCCCUGCAUGAAGCCGGAAUCGCUAGUAAUCGCGGAUCAGAAUGCCGCGGUGAAUACGUUCCCGGGUCUUGUACACACCGCCCGUCACACCAUGGGAGUCGAUAACGCCCGAAGUCAGUGACCCAACCGAGAGGAGGGAGCUGCCGAAGGCGGGAUUGAUAACUGGGGUGAAGUCGUAACAAGGUAGC
rnacentral:rRNA from 1 species